rnacentral:rRNA from 1 species
GGCCCGCACAAGCGGUGGAGUAUGUGGUUUAAUUCGACGCAACGCGCAGAACCUUACCCAGCCUUGACAUCCCUGGACAACCAUAGUGAUAUGGCUUUCCCCCUUGCGGGGGACCGGGUGACAGGUGCUGCAUGGCUGUCGUCAGCUCGUGUCGUGAGAUGUUCGGUUAAGUCCGGUAACGAGCGCAACCCCUUUCGUUAGUUGCCAUCAAUUCGGUUGGGCACUUUAGCGAUACUGCCGGUGUUAAACCGGAGGAAGGUGGGGAUGACGUCAAGUCCUCAUGGCCCUUACGGCUGGGGCUACACACGUACUACAAUGGCGUCUACAGAGGGUCGCGAUAUCGCGAGAUGGAGCUAAUCCCAUAAACCGUGGCUCAGUUCAGAUCGUAGGCUGCAACUCGCUACGUGAAGGCGGAAUCGCUAGUAAUCGCAGGUC